rnacentral:rRNA from 1 species
GUUAGAUGCGAUGGGGGGACGGAUCGCGGAAGGUUGUCCGGGUGUUGGACGUCCCGGUCGCUGCAUUGGAGAAGGCGCUUAGGCAAAUCCGGGCGCGGAAUUCAAGGGUGUGGCGCGAGCGACUUCGGUCGCGAAGCAAUUGGAAGUGGUUCCAAGAAAAGCCUCUAAGCUUCAGUCUAACGAUGACCGUACCGCAAACCGACACAGGUGGGCGAGAUGAGUAUUCUAAGGCGCUUGAGAGAACUCGGGAGAAGGAACUCGGCAAAUUGGUACCGUAACUUCGGGAUAAGGUACGCCCUUGUAGCUUGACUGGCCUGCGCCAGGAGGGUGAAGGGGUUGCAAUAAACUGGUGGCUGCGACUGUUUAAUAAAAACACAGCACUCUGCAAACACGAAAGUGGACGUAUAGGGUGUGACGCCUGCCCGGUGCCGGAAGAUUAAAUGAUGGGGUGCAAGCUCUUGAUUGAAGUCCCGGUAAACGGCGGCCGUAACUAUAACGGUCCUAAGGUAGCGAAAUUCCUUGUCGGGUAAGUUCCGACCUGCACGAAUGGCGUAACGAUGGCCACACUGUCUCCUCCCGAGACUCAGCGAAGUUGAAGUGUUUGUGAUGAUGCAAUCUACCCGCGGCUAGACGGAAAGACCCCAUGAACCUUUACUGUAGCUUUGCAUUGGACUUUGAACCGAUCUGUGUAGGAUAGGUGGGAGGCUAUGAAACCGGAACGCUAGUUUCGGUGGAGCCGUCCUUGAAAUACCACCCUGGUUUGUUUGAGGUUCUAACCUUGGUCCGUGAUCCGGAUCGGGGACAGUGCAUGGUAGGCAGUUUGACUGGGGCGGUCUCCUCCCAAAGGGUAACGGAGGAGUACGAAGGUACGCUAGGUACGGUCGGAAAUCGUGCUGAUAGUGCAAUGGCAUAAGCGUGCUUAACUGCGAGACCGACAAGUCGAGCAGGUGCGAAAGCAGGUCAUAGUGAUCCGGUGGUUCUGUAUGGAAGGGCCAUCGCUCAACGGAUAAAAGGUACUCUGGGGAUAACAGGCUGAUACCGCCCAAGAGUUCAUAUCGACGGCGGUGUUUGGCACCUCGAUGUCGGCUCAUCUCAUCCUGGGGCUGUAGCCGGUCCCAAGGGUAUGGCUGUUCGCCAUUUAAAGAGGUACGUGAGCUGGGUUUAAAACGUCGUGAGACAGUUUGGUCCCUAUCUGCCGUGGGCGUUGGAUAUUUGAAGGGGGCUGCUCCUAGUACGAGAGGACCGGAGUGGACGAACCUCUGGUGUACCGGUUGUGACGCCAGUCGCAUCGCCGGGUAGCUAUGUUCGGAAGAGAUAACCGCUGAAAGCAUCUAAGCGGGAAACUCGCCUUAAGAUGAGAUAUCCCUGGAGGCUUGACCUCCUUGAAGGGUCGUUCGAGACCAGGACGUUGAUAGGUCGGGUGUGUAAGCGCAGUAAUGCGUUCAGCUAACCGAUACUAAUUGCCCGUAAGGCUUGAUCCU